rnacentral:rRNA from 1 species
CCUACGGGGGGCAGCAGUGGGGACUAUUGCGCAAUGGGCGAAAGCCUGACGCAGCGACGCCGCGUGAGGGAUGAAGGUCUUCGGAUCGUAAACCUCUGUCAGCAGGGAAGAACGGUCACUGUGCUAAUCAGCAGUGAAUUGACGGUACCUGCAAAGGAAGCACCGGCUAACUCCGUGCCAGCCGCCGCGGUAAUACGGAGGGUGCGAGCGUUAAUCGGAAUUACUGGGCGUAAAGCGCUCGUAGGCGGUAUGUCAAGUCAAGGGUGAAAUCCCCGCGCUCAACGUGGGAACUGCCUUUGAAACUGGCAAACUGGAGUGUGUGAGAGGAUAGUGGAAUUCCAGGUGUAGGAGUGAAAUCCGUAGAUAUCUGGAGGAACAGCAGUGGCGAAGGCGACUAUCUGGCACAUAACUGACGCUGAGGAGCGAAAGCGUGGGUAGCAAACAGGAUUAGAUACCCUUGUAGUC